rnacentral:rRNA from 1 species
GGGAAUGGAUCGACUUGAGAUAACGCCUGCCCAGUGAGGCAUAACCCUUAAACGGCCGCGUAUAAAACGUGCAAAGGUAGCAAAAUCAUUUGUCCUCUAAAUCAGGACCAGUAUGAACGGCAACAUGAGAAAGAAACUGUCUCUCUAGGCCAGCCAAUGAACCUGACCUGCCUGUACAAAUGCAGGCAUAAAAAAACAAGACAAAAAGACCCUGUGAAGCUUAAAAUGUAAAUCAUCAAACUGAUCAACACAUUUUUGGUUGGGGCAACCAAAGAGAAACAUAAACCUCACAUCCCGUCAUAUGACCAACAAGUCUACUGACAAGACAAAAAGACCCAGUAUCACUGAUUAAAGAACCAAGUUACUCCAGGGAUAACAGCGCCACAUUCUUGAAGAGUCCAUAUCAACAAGAAUAUCUACGACCUCGAUGUUGGAUUAGGGUACCCAGAUGGCGCAAAAGUUAUCAACGGUUCGUUUGUUCAACGAUUAAAACCCCACGUGAUCUGAGUUCAGACCAGA